AAAGGAAUAGACGGGGGCCCGCACAAGCGGUGGAGCAUGUGGCUUAAUUCGAGGCAACGCGAAGAACCUUACCUGGGCUUGAAAUAUACAGGACAUCCUAUGAAAGUAGGCUUCUCUUCGGAGUCUGUAUACAGGUGCUGCAUGGCUGUCGUCAGCUCGUGCCGUGAGGUGUUCGGUUAAGUCCGGCAACGAGCGCAACCCGUAUCACUAGUUGCCAGCAAGUAAAGUUGGGGACUCUAGUGAGACUGCCUGUGUUAAGCAGGAGGAAGGCGCGGAUGACGUCAAGUCAGUAUGGCCCUUACGCCCAGGGCUGCACACGUGCUACAAUGGGGGGUACAAUGAGAAGCAAAAUCGCGAGGUGGAGCAAAUCUACAAAACCUCUCUUAGUUCAGAUUGUAGUCUGCAACCCGACUACAUGAAGUUGGAAUCGCUAGUAAAGGCGUAUCAGCUACGACGCCUUGAAUACGUUCCCGGGCCUUGUACACACCGCCCGU
rnacentral:rRNA from 1 species